ACUCCUCCUCCGACUUUACGCUCGAUUCUGAGCGCGCGGGGUGGGCUGAUAACCUACACAUGUAAGAAUCGCAGGAGUACGGGGCUAGUUUUCCCCAUGGUACCUCCGACGAUCAAGUCAGUUAUGGAACUUGAGUGAGGUUUGGGGGAAGGUCCUUAGGCCAUUGAGGUCCUUGGAGCGUACUCUUUUGAGAGUUUUGUAGUUCUUUUUUUAACCAAUGUAGGUUCCUUGUUUUUAUAAAGAAGAAGUAGCCAAACAAUUAUCACUUACCCCUCUCUAGGGGUGGCAAUCGAGACCAAAACCCAAUAAUCUACCCAUACCCACUCGCUGAAUAGUCCAACUAUACCCACCCAUAUAACUAAGCGGGUCCUAAAUAGAUGAGUAUUGUUUCUAUGCAGCAUAAACGGUUCAUAACCGGAACCGCCCAUAAUCCAACCAAUCUGGUCCGCCCCUAUACCCACGUUCUCCUUUCUCCCCUCUUUCUCAAACGCUCGAGCCCAUAGUUCCGCUCUCUCCUCUCUCAAACGCUCGAUUUCACCUAUCUCCAUCGAUCCAUAGUUCCUCAUCUCUCUCCGAUCAAACAGCAGAAUCAAAUCUUCAACUUGUGUAGGCAACGAUUAGGGUUUGAGUCUAGUUCGAGCGUCUCUCCUGUUCAAAUUCAGGCCUUUGAUUGAGCAACUUCAACAUUCAGGUCUUCAAUCGAGCUAAUCACUGGAUUUUGAGCUCGCCAGAAGGCUCACGACCUUAAUCGCCUCGAGGUGCAGAGGAAGGACCUCAACUCUAAAGUGAGAAUGUUGCUGGAGGAAUUGCAACUGCUUCAGGAACCUGGAUCAUACGUUGGUGAAGUAGUGAAAGUUAUGGGUAAAUCAAAAGUUUUAGUGAAGGUUGAGAGGUUUGCUUGUUUGUACACCAGCAAAGUGUCGAACAUAGGGUUGUAUUCUCCUGAAAAGUACUAUAGACCAAGUGGAGACUCCAUGCCUCAUGAAUUCGAUAUCCUUGGAGCUUAAGCUGUCAAAGCUGCACCAAUUAAUUUGAGGACCACAAACUGGGGUCGAUGGAUGUCAAGAUAAAACUGUGUUUAGAACGCGCUGAUUCUGUCAGAGAUUGCUGAUGUGCAAGCUCUGUUAAAAGUGUUUUUAGCUUCCAGAUAAGGAAAAAAACAUUACCUAAUUGUAAAUGUCCGCCUAAAUGUAGUUUGAAAUGUUCACUUUUAUUCAACAGGAAACAUGUUUUCUAAUCCAUUUCUGGAGUGGAAGAAGGUUUUUUUAGGCAUUUCUAUUGACUGUGUGCUGUUUUCCUUUGUGCAACUGUAAUUUAUCGUACAACAAGCAUAUGUCAA